AGCAAAGAUAUCCGCGGAGGCCGGUUCGUUCGUCCUAUUCUGAUAUUCAGGACCAAGAGGUACUGGAUUCUCUUUCGGAUAGGCCCUGAAAGGAGAAGAAAGGCUGAAAUGCCAACGGACCUCUGUCUAUUCUCUAAUUCACCCGAUCCGAUAGUACCCGUUUUUGGAACGUCCAGUGCCAAAGUCAUUGAAUGGGUAAGUCACCAAUCCAAUCCCUUUGACAAAUCGGAUGUAAUAUUAGAUAUCAUAUUCUAUAUAUAUAGAAAUAUCAUAGAUAGAAUAGACAUAUAG
rnacentral:rRNA from 1 species